ACUGAGACCUAAGCCACUCUGAGAACUCUUCCAGCUGUAGAACAAGAUCUUGUUUGAUUUCAGAAGAUAAACAGAAUCAGGUCUGGCUUGUACUUGGAUGAGAGACCACCAGAGAAUGCCAAUGAUUAAUC
rnacentral:rRNA from 1 species